rnacentral:rRNA from 1 species
AGUGAACGCUGGCGGCGUGCCUAAUACAUGCAAGUCGAACGGAGUGGCGCACGGGUGAGUAAUGUAUAGCUAAUCUGCCCUACACUAGAGGACAACAGUUGGAAACGACUGCUAAUACUCUAUAGUGUAGGAUGAGGCUAUAUUGUAUCAGCUAGUUGGUGAGGUAAUGGCUCACCAAGGCGAUGACGCAUAACUGGUCUGAGAGGAUGAUCAGUAUCACUGUAAGUGAGACACGGUCCAGGCUCAUCCGGGAAGCAGCAGAAGGGAAUAUUGCUCAAUGGGGGAAACCCUGAAACGGCAACGCCGCGUGAAGGAUGACACUUUUCGGAGCGUAAACUCCUUUUGUUAGGGAAGCGGUACCUAACGAAUAAGCACCGGCUAACUCCGUGCCAGCCGCCGCGGUAAUUC